GUCGAGAAUUUUGGGCAAUGGACGAAAGUCUGACCCAGCAAUGCCGCGUGCGGGAUGAAGGUCUUCGGAUUGUAAACCGCUGUCGAGGGGGACGAAAUAUGACGGUACCCCUGGAGGAAGCCACGGCUAACUACGUGCCAGCAGCCGCGGUAAUACGUAGGUGGCGAGCGUUGUUCGGAUUUAUUGGGCGUAAAGGGUCCGCAGGGGGUUGAUUAAGUCUGACGUGAAAUCUCUGAGCUCAACUCAGAAAUUGCGUUGGAGACUGGUUGACUAGAGUGUUGGAGAGGUAAUUGGAAUUCCAGGUGUAGCGGUGGAAUGCGUAGAUAUCUGGAAGAACAUCGAAAGCGAAGGCAGAUUACUGGACAACAACUGACCCUCAGGGACGAAAGCAUGGGGAGCAAACAGGAUUAGAUACCCCAGUAGUCC
rnacentral:rRNA from 1 species